CAGAGGCUCAGACAGAGCUCACGGGGUCUGGGGAGCCCAUCCCUAAUGGCAUCUGUGUUCUCUAUGACAGGUUGGCAUCUGUUGAGUCAAAGGAGCCAGGGCGUGGAGACUGAGAAGGUUGAUGAAGAUUUAGAAGCUCUUGUUGCUGAGCAGUCCUGAGGGCCCGGUUGAAAUUGAGCAUCAUGCACCUGCAGUGGAGCCAGACAGGAUGGUGAUCUCUUCUAAAAGUCUGAGCAGGGGAAGAUCCAAGAAAAGGAGGCAGACAGAGGAAGCACAAGGGGGCCAAGUCAUACAGCAAGCAGAAGGAGAUGAGAUCAGUGGCGAAACACGAGCAGCGACACCCAAAAUGAAAGUAUGGAACUUCAAUGGGAAGACUGAUGUCAUUAGUAUGGAAAAAACAUCUGCCAGAUAAAAUCAUGUCCAUGAACAAUCUCCUCUAUGUUCUGGGAGAGAGCCUGUCUUUCUUCUCAGUGCAAGCAAGCAAGUAGCUACAAAACAACUUCUGCCUGAGGUUCAACCAAAUACUUCAAGACUUGACUUUGGGGAAGUCACUCAAUUUGUAUGGAUAAAUGUCAUGUUCUCUUUCACUUCCCUGACAGAGCCUCUUGGAUUGUAUCUUUUCAUUACACGUAGUUAAUGGAUAAUUUAAGGCUCUGAUGCUGAUAAAAUUGACAAAUGUUAUGCAGCGGUGGGCACAAUUUUCAAAUCAUUGGCCAAGUCUUAGAUGUGAGCACAUGCCAAUGUCAAAAGCAGCAAGACACAAUGGUAUGUUGUGCCUCCUUGUUUACCAGAGAACCAGGUGGGUUGAUGCCAAACACACCAUGUGCUUUAUCAGUUCAACAAAUACCAAGAUAUUGUGUCUACGGCAGACCCUUGUUUGGCAAAGAAAUACCUUUAACAAUUUUGAAGAUGUCAGUGCCCUUUGAGUUUUCCAAAAGGGACUCACCAAAUAGGAAUUCUCUGACAGUAUCAGAGUGCACCUCAUGGACAAAAACCAAGAACUGGAUACAUUGAAAGAUGUCAGUAACUGUCUUCAAGGGAAAUGGCUUAUUAGUGAAUUCUUCCUUGACCUUCAUCAAAGGGCUAAAAGAAAUGCUGAGGAUUCCGGAAUGGAUGAGUUUAUUUGACAGAGAUACUGUUUCAGUGUUCCUUCCUGAUCCAAAUUAGAAGGCUCCUGAAUGUUUUCCAGGACAUGCGGUUUCACAGUUGUAUAUGGAUUCUUUUCCUUAAGAACAUUAUAAGCAGCUUUGAGAGAUGCAUGAAAACAGAGUUUUUGUGUGAAGCACAGCCACAUUUUGGUAAGGUUCCAAUCACAAAUAACUACCUUUCCUGAUGUGCGGAGAGGAUAGACAGUUUAAUUGGAUUUGUGUUUCCAUAGGGAGGGUCUGUGGCUUUUGUAAUCCAUGAUAUUCAAUAGUAAAAUAAACAAAGAUACAGACGA